CAAUCAAAGAAGCAUGGUAAUGUGCACAGAAAUUGAAUUGGGUCUCUAGGCCUGCUCUCUCCGAUGCCAUUUGGCUUUGAUUUGAGGGCAUGGUUCUGCAGCAAUACA